rnacentral:rRNA from 1 species
UACGAAGGGGCUAGCGUUGCUCGGAAUCACUGGGCGUAAAGCGCACGUAGGCGGCUUUUUAAGUCAGAGGUGAAAUCCUGGAGCUCAACUCCAGAACUGCCUUUGAUACUGGAGCGCUUGAGUCCGGGAGAGGUGAGUGGAACUGCGAGUGUAGAGGUGAAAUUCGUAGAUAUUCGCAAGAACACCAGUGGCGAAGGCGGACUCACUGGCCCG